ACCACAUGUAGUGUCGUGUGUCACCUCAGGAGGGGUGACAAUGUCCUGGCUGGAGGGAAAGCUUGCUCCUGGCUCACCUUUUGCUCGCCGCCCACACCCUCCCAUGGAGCACCUGCAGGGAAUGCUGGAGCUGUGGAUGGCUUGGGGCUGAGCUGGAAAGGGAGCAUGUGGGGCGGAUGUCUGUCCAGAAAGAUCCAGAAACAAAACACUCACUCGAGUGGACAAGGUACUUUGGGUGGCUGAAGAGCUCCCCUGGAGCAGGAACGCUCUGUUCAUUCAACAGAAUUGUGCAGUCGAGCUCAUGCUGGGUGCUGAGGAUACGUGGGGAAUGACACCAAUCAAUCCUCCAAUUGAGACCCACCCUCUAGUGUGGGAGAGAGAUUGAAUGCCCGAGUGUGUGGAGGGUAGAGGCAGGCAGCAGCGAAGGGAAGAAAGUGCAGGGUUGGAGGCCCGAAGCCUUGAGGCUGGUGUGGGAGAGGGCCGCACUGGGAUUGGAGCAACAACCUUGAUGGGGGCAGGGAGGGAGCCAAAUGGAUACAUGGGAGAAAGCAUUCCUGGCAAAGGUGACCUCAAAGGCCUGAGGCUCAGAUGACCAGAGCAAAGUGAGCAUUAGGGAGGCUGGGGAGGCUGAGGAGGCGGGGAGGCUGAGGAGGCUGGGGGCCAUGGAAGGUACUGAGCAGAGGAGUGACAUGAUCUGACUUCGCAUUCCAACA
rnacentral:lncRNA from 1 species